GUCCUUUUGAUUAUAAUAUAAGGUCUAACCUGCCCACUGAAAAUUUAAAGGGCCGCAGUAUUUUAACUGUGCAAAGGUAGCAUAAUAAUUAGUUUCUUAAUUAGAAGCUGGUAUGAAUGGUUGAACGAGAAAUUAGCUGUCUCAAUUUAUAAGUUAAAAUUUUAUUUUUAAGUUAAAAAGCUUAAAUUAAUUUAAAAGACGAGAAGACCCUAUAGAGUUUUAUAUUUAAUAAAAUUUUAAUUUUAGGAUUUUUAAUAUUUUAAUAAUUAUUUUAUUGGGGUGAUAUAUAAAUUAAAAUAACUUUAUAUUUUUAAUAACAUAAAUUAAUGAUUUUUUGAUCCAUUUUUAAUGAUUAUAAGAAAAAAUUACCUUAGGGAUAACAGCGUAAUUUUUUUUUAGAGUUCUAAUCGAAAGAAAAGAUUGCGACCUCGAUGUUGGAUUAAAGUUAAUUUUUGGUGUAGAAGCUAUAAAAUUAGGUCUGUUCGACCUUUAAAACUUUACAUGAUCUGAGUUUAGACCGGCGUGAGCCAGGUUGGUUUCUAUCUUUAAAUAUUUUAAAUAUUUUAGUACGAAAGGACCAAGUAUUUUUAAAAUUUAAUUUUUAAUUGAAUAUU
rnacentral:rRNA from 1 species